CAUUUCCCGUAAGUUAUUUGUUUCCCUGUUAGGUCCGGAGGAUAUUUGUGGACAAUUUAGGAGAGCUUCCGGAUCUGAAAACAAUCCCCGCUAACCCGGGUGGGGAAGCGCUUGCGUAGCCCCGAGGCCUUAGUUCUCCAGCAACACCCUGGCCUCCACGCAGCUGAGAACGAUGGAGAAGAACAACCCUGCGCUCGCUCGUCCGGCUUUCAAGCCCUGGUCAGGGACGUCUAGGGGGCCAGGCGCUGCCCAGGGAUCCUGCCUCCUGUCCUACAUGCGAGUGUGAAGCAGACUGGGCCCGGAACAGGUUAGGGGAACAGCUCCCCCGGACCCUCCCGCCCAAGCCAUUCAGAGCCUCUUCUUGGGCAACUUCUUCCCCUUGAAUGAGUCUCUUUCCAGGAAGCUCCCCAGCUUUUGCAGAUAGAGUUGCGUCCAUUCACCAGUUCCCCAGCUGUAACCCAGGCUGAGUUCCUUCCUGGGAAGCUCCUCAGGCCCCCAGUAUACACUUCUGUGAGAUGCCGCUGCCUGUCUGUCGUGGACAACAGAAGAGCACCGUUCAAGUGAGAGACCCACGGCGUGGGCUCACAAAUAAGCUAUUUGGGGUAAACUUAUUUUUCAAAAAUUGGCACUUGCCUGUUUAAUUAUU